rnacentral:rRNA from 1 species
UACGUAGGGGGCAAGCGUUAUCCGGAUUUACUGGGUGUAAAGGGGGCGCAGACGGCGAUGCAAGCCAGGAGUGAAAGCCCGGGGCCCAACCCCGGGACUGCUCUUGGAACUGCGUGGCUGGAGUGCAGGAGGGGCAGGCGGAAUUCCUGGUGUAGCGGUGAAAUGCGUAGAUAUCAGGAGGAACACCGGUGGCGAAGGCGGCCUGCUGGACUGCAACUGACGUUGAGACCCGAAAGCGUGGGGAGCAAACAGG